rnacentral:rRNA from 1 species
GAUGAACGCUGGCGGCGUGCCUAAUACAUGCAAGUCGAGCGAACAGACGAGGAUCUUGCGCCUCUGACGUUAGCGGCGGACGGGUGAGUAACACGUGGAUAACCUACCUAUAAGACUGGGAUAACUUCGAGAAACCGGAGCUAAUACCGGAUAAUAUAUUGAACCGCAGGGUUCAAUAGUGAAAGACGGUUUUGCUGUCACUGAUAGAGGGAUCCGCGCCGCAUUAGCUAGUUGGUAAGGUAACGGCUUACCAAGGCAACGAGGCGUAGCCGACCUGAGAGAGUGAUCGGCCACACUGGAACUGGAACACGGUCCAGACUCCUACGGGAGGCCGCAGUAGGGAAUCUUCCGCAAUAGGCGAGAGCCUGACGGAGCAACGCCGCGUGGGUGAUGAAGGCCUUCGGAUCGUAAAACUCUGUUAUUAGGGAAGAACAAAUGUGUAAGUAACUAUGCACGUCUUGACGGUACCUAAUCAAAAAGCCACGGCUAACUACGUG